rnacentral:lncRNA from 1 species
UUUUUUUUUUUUUUUUUUAGAGUUUUUAUACAUUUUAUACAUUUUACUGUGAAAUUCACUGAACCUGGUGCUGUCUUAGGGAUAGAACUUUGACAAUCUUUCUGUUUCUUCUCAGUCUCCGGCAGAGAUUGCUCAUUGUCCACCCAACAUCCAUUUUCCCUUUCCUACUCAGAGCCAUAAUCCUGAUUCUAUCUGGAUGCAGUGUCUCGGGAAUACAGGACCACAUUUUGCAGUGCCAUGAUUAUGUCAUCAAGAAGGUUUCGCAGCAUCUCAGAGAGAAUGACAGUGAGGGAUGGAGACCGGGCUACCGGGAAAUGGUAAAGGUUGCCCACACCUUCCUCUUUGGAUGCGCCCCCGAACCACAAGUCAGUACUUCUUCCUAAACACACGGAGAGGGGACGUGGGGACAUGAAGCAAGGCAUUUCCUAGCUUCCACCUGUGCGGACAACGCGGCCAGGGACCCGGAAAACCUGCACAAGGCAACCGUCAAGGCAGCUCAGCCCCGCGUGGGUCUUCUGAUGUGGAUGAGGUUGCAGUGGUGGCAAAAGCUCUUCCCACCCUUGCAUCAGUGAGGCCACUCGCCUGUUGGCUCUUUGGGGCUCAGGGAGUAAGGCAGGCCCACAGCAACUCUUCCCGCACGGCUGCCCUGGUGGGGUCUCCCUGGCCCAGGGCUCCUCAGGUGCUGGGUCAGCCCCAUGCUCUGAGGGAAUGCCUUCCCACACUCCUGCACUCCUGAGAGUGGGGCCGCUUCUGUGGGCUGUGGCCCCUUGGGUUCCACUGGCAGGUCCUUCCUCCCUCCUCACGUACACAGCAUCUCUCCCCAGGGGUGUUCUCCGCUGGCCAAUGAGGCCGAGCUCUGGGCAAAGCUCUUCUCACACGCAUGACAUAGCUGCUGCCCUUCCUGCCCUGGGGGGCUGCCCAACCAGCAGGGCCCCAAGCACUCCAUGUCGGGACCUUAGGGGCCUUCCUCCCAGGUCCAUCCCUAGAUAUCCCCCCAGGAACUCAGCUGCCUCAGGGCCAGGUUCCUCUGCACCAGAGCUCCUGCUCAGCCGCUUGUUCGGCCUGAAACAGAAAGACCAGGCAAAUGUCACCUGUUCUCGGAGUCUGCGGGAGGCUCACACUGUGUGCCCAAAAGGACAGGGUGCUCCUAACCUGCUGGACCCCACAUCAUAGAGCAGAGGCAUUAGAAACCCAAGGGCUGGUGUGGGAAAACUUUCCUCUAGGUAAUAAGGAAGUCUAGUGAAUUCAGCAAAAUACAGUUCAGCCCAGCCUUCCCUUCCACACAGCCUAGGCCUGGAGAGAAUUCUUCAUGGGGAGGGCUGAUCCAGAUCAGGGUGGCUUCUCUUAGUUCCCCUCAGAACUCCCUCCCCAUGGAGCAUCUGGGUGGUUCAGUUGGAUCAGGUCACGCUCUCAGGGUCCUGGGAUCGAGGCCCACAUCAGGGUCCGUUCUGUGAGGAGUCUGCUUGAGAUUCUCUCUCUGCCCCUCCCCCAACUGCACACACCUGUGCUUGCUCUCUCCCUCUCUCUGAAAAAUAAGUAAAUAAAUCUUAAAAACAACAAAAACCUCCUUUUAAGGUGGUGAGCCUCACAGUGACCAAGGGGAGUCACCCCGUGGACUCAUUCCUUUAUGGGACAAGCAUUCAAUCGCACUCUUCCAGUGGCAGUGGCAGCACCCAACGACUAUCAAAUGGGCAACACCCCAAGUGUGUUCCUGGCAUGAGGCCCUUACAGGCGCUGCCCUCUGCCUGGAAAGCUCUCAGCUCAGGUAACAGCAAGUCUCCUUCUCUCAUCCCUUUGCUCAGCUCCCCCUUCCUUACUUCUUCCACUUACUACUGCAGUCAGCUCACUGGGGCCACGGCAACUCACUGUCUCCCUUCCCUGGGCCAGUCUGCUCAUUCCUCACUGACCACCUUCUCACGCACUCAUCACCCUUCUAUUUGUCUCCCCCUUGCCACAACCAAAUAUCCACAGCAGCAGGAUCUUCCUGUUCUGUUCCUGGAAUCAUGGCUGGCACAAGGCAGUUUUCAAUAAAUACUUGUCGCAUGAGUAAAAGAGAAAGCACCAGAGCCAAUCCAACUACUAUGACCUCAAAUGACUGGCUCAGAGUUGGCACCAGCAGCAAACCAUGCCCCAGAGAACCAGCCCAUGUGGGAUAGCUGUCCAACCAGUCCAGUCAGAUGCAGAGGAGUUGAGGGCAAGAAGGGAGACAAACAGGCCCAAACCAUCUCAACACUGGGCAGCAGCCUCAUGGUCCCCUGAGGAUGCCUUGGUCCCCAGGGGUGAGUGUUGGGGAUGCCAUCAAGAACACAUGACCAUCCAGUGACCCAUGAGCCAGACCCAAGCACUGGAUGCUCCUGACCUCCUCUGACCCUGGAAUGUGAGCUCCCCCUGCCUGCCCCACUCCCAGGAGCUGCCCCAAGGAUAGCGACAGUGCAGGGGGUGGUAUGGAGCAAAAUGGACAGCAUCUGACUGAGGCCAGUGAAGACCUCUACAUUACUUUUCAGAUCUGGCUGGUGGGUGUGGGUAUCUACUCAUUCUGCCACCACCUGGGAAGAGCCUCACCUGUGAGCCUCCUUUGCUUGGGAACACCACCAGCUUCCCUCUUUCCUGGGUCUCUCCCUGCCCCCCAAGGAGGGGCUAGUUUCAGAUCACAACUAGAAAGCUUCCAUGGAGCUUCCCAACUAACAGACUUCUAUCUUGCAAACCAGAAAGCCCAGGGAAAACAGCCCCAGCCCUUCUCUUUAUCAAAACAUCCAGCUUUCUCCCACAGCUAACUGUCCUGUCCCUCCCUCACACCCCUGAACAAGUACCUCUGAGUACUCCUCUGUUGUCAGACCAUGGUUCUCUCAGUCCUUAUAGCUGAAGGAUGGCAACAGGUUUGGAAAACAGAAAUGUGUCUGCAGAGAAGAAAUGGGCCACAAGUGGGAUCAGUACUGCCCUUCUGCCCAAACUUCACACACACACACACACACACACAUAUAUAUAUAUUUUAAGAAGUCUUCCUUUAUUAGCACUAACACAGAACUGAGUGAAGGUGUGAUGGUUAAUAAAAAUUCAAGGUAAGAUUAAGGAAUUUAAAUUAUAUAGCCUCUAAGGUCUUUUCCAACUGUUAGCAUCAUGCAACUCCAUAAGGCUAAUACAUACUAAGGUAUUAGUUAAGGAAAUACUAAUACUAAGGAAUACUAAUUCAUACUAAGGUAUUAGUUAAGGAAAUAUUAUUAUGCCCCUUAGGAUAUUUACAGUUUAGAAGACUAUAGUGCCAUAAACCUAAAACACAUAGUUCUACACUUAAGAAAAAAAGGAGAGACAGGUCAAAAAGAUACAGAAACCAACUUGGAAAUUAACACUGGGAACUUUGACUUCGAAUGGCAAAAUCUGGAGAACCAUUUGAAAAAUAGAUUAAUAAUGAUAAUAAUGAAUUGUAAACCAAAGAAUAAGGUAUCUGUAAGUCCAAAAUAAUACGAAUGAAGGAUCACUGGGUGGCUCAAUGGUUUGGUGCCUGCCUUUAGCCCAGGGUAUGGUCCUGGGUCCUGGGAUCAAGUCCCACAUCGAGCUCUCAGCAUGGGGCCUGCUUCUCCAUCUGCCUGUGUCUCUUCCUCUUUCUGUCUCUCAUGAAUAAGUAAAUAAAAUCUUAAAAAAAAAAAAAGAUUGAAUAUAAGGAAAAGGAAAAAAAAAAUCAUCCUUAGAGAAUUCCAAUAAAUGUAGAAGGAACAGGAAAGAAGAAAACCACCAUGGAACUCCACAGUAAUCUUUGUUGCACGGAAAAUUCACCAAUGAAUGCUAAAAUUAGUGGCACUUCUGAGCUCAUGCACAUUUAGAAACUGCCAUUGUAAAAAAAAAAAAAAAAAAAAAA